CCUACGGGGCGCAGCAGUGGGGAAUAUUGCACAAUGGGGGAAACCCUGAUGCAGCGACGCCGCGUGAGCGAUGAAGUAUUUCGGUAUGUAAAGCUCUAUCAGCAGGGAAGAAAAUGACGGUACCUGACUAAGAAGCCCCGGCUAACUACGUGCCAGCAGCCGCGGUAAUACGUAGGGAGCAAGCGUUGUUCGGAAUGACUGGGCGUAAAGGGUGCGUAGGCGGUUGUACAAGUUAGAAGUGAAAUACCCAGGGCUUAACUCGGGUGCUGCUUCUAAAACUGUAUGACUUGAGUGCAGUAGAGGUU
rnacentral:rRNA from 1 species